GAUGAAGAACGUAGCGAAAUGCGAUACGUAGUGUGAAUUGCAGAAUUCAGUGAAUCAUCGAAUCUUUGAACGCACAUUGCACCUCUCGGUAUUCCGGGAGGUAUGCCUGUUCGAGCGUCAUUUGUACCCUCAAGCUCUGCUUGGUGUUGGGUGUUUGUUCCGCCUCUGUGUGUGAACUCGCCUCAAAACAAUUGGCAGCCGGCGUACUUGUUUCGGAGCGCAGCACAUUUAGCGAUCCAGAUCAACGUACAGCGGCAUCCAAGAAGCCUUAUUUAACGCUCUUGACCUCGGAUCAGGUAGGGAUACCCGCUGAACUUAAGCAUAUCAAUAAGCGGAGGA
rnacentral:misc_RNA from 1 species